CGACGAUGACUUUUGUGCUUGCACAGAAUGAUUAGUGGCGAACGGGUGAGUAACACGUGAGUAACCUGCCCCUGACUCUGGGAUAAGCCUGGGAAACUGGGUCUAAUACCGGAUAUGCACCGUUGACCGCAUGGUUUUUGGUGGAAAGAUUUUUUGGUCAGGGAUGGACUCGCGGCCUAUCAGCUUGUUGGUGAGGUAAUGGCUCACCAAGGCGACGACGGGUAGCCGGCCUGAGAGGGUGACCGGCCACACUGGGACUGAGACACGGCCCAGACUCCUACGGGAGGCAGCAGUGGGGAAUAUUGCACAAUGGGCGAAAGCCUGAUGCAGCGACGCCGCGUGAGGGAUGACGGCCUUCGGGUUGUAAACCUCUUUCAGUAGGGAAGAAGCGAAAGUGACGGUACCUGCAGAAGAAGCGCCGGCUAACUACGUGCCAGCAGCCGCGGUAAUACGUAGGGCGCAAGCGUUAUCCGGAAUUAUUGGGCGUAAAGAGCUCGUAGGCGGUUUGUCGCGUCUAUCGUGAAAGUCCGAGGCUCAACCUCGGAUCUGCGGUGGGUACGGGCAGACUAGAGUGAUGUAGGGGAGACUGGAAUUCCUGGUGUAGCGGUGAAAUGCGCAGAUAUCAGGAGGAACACCGAUGGCGAAGGCAGGUCUCUGGGCAUUAACUGACGCUGAGGAGCGAAAGCAUGGGGAGCGAACAGGAUUAGAUACCCUGGUAGUCCAUGCCGU
rnacentral:rRNA from 2 species